UCUCUCCUUUCUUUCUAAAUCUCUGGAACGCACUGUUUUUAACUGUCUGUCUGUCUCUCACAGAACAACCUUUCAGCAGCAUUCGACACGGUCAACCACAAGACUCUGUUAUCUACCCUCAGGAUCCACAGAGCAGCAUUUUGUACGUCGCUCUGGACAACAGAGUCUGUAAAAUUGCAGAAAUGUAAUACAGUAAAAACACACAACCUUCAGCUGUCAUUCACAGUUUGUGGCUGUAGGUAGGAGCUACAUGUAAACAGGCCUCCAGAUCAUACAAUUAACCCAAUACCCCUAAUCACCCCCAGAAUACAGAUAAUAUCCCAUUGUAAUAUCAGGAACUGCACCCCAAUCCAAUUACAUCAGACUUUCACUACUUCAGUCUCAUCAGCAUCUUUAUUCCUAAUCCUUAAUAACAAAAUACACACACACACACACACACACACACACACACACACACACACACACACACACACACACACACACACACACAUACACACACACACACACACACACACACACACA